AUUCCAGCUCCAAUAGCGUAUAUUAAAGUUGUUGCAGUUAAAAAGCUCGUAGUUGGAGUUCGGGGAAAGCUCAGUCGGUCGGCCUAAUGGGUCAGAACUGGCUGACUCUCUCUUGUUUGCGGAUCCCUCCCGGAGUUAACUCUUCAGGUUGUGGAGUCCGCAUCGUUUACCUUGAAAAAAUUAGAGUGUUCAAAGCAGGCGUUUGCUUGAAUAUAUUAGCAUGGAAUAAUGGAAUAGGACCCUGGUUCUAUUUUGUUGGUUUUGAGAGCCAGAGUAAUGAUUAAUAGGGAUAGUUGGGGGCAUUCAUAUUUCAUUGUCAGAGGUGAAAUUCUUGGAUUUAUGAAAGAUGAACUUCUGCGAAAGCAUUUGCCAAGGAUGUUUUCAUCG
rnacentral:rRNA from 1 species